AGAUCAUCUGAAAGGAAGGAGAAUGGUGAAGGCAGAGAGAAGCAUGAGGAAUCAGGACAUUGGACAAAGCCUUCACAUGAUUUUAGAGGAUUAAACUGCUUCGGCAUCUAGUAAACUCCUCCCAGAAGGAAAACUAGAGACAUGCUUUUCCCUAAAUACUACUUCAGAGCCCAUAAUAAAGGUGCAUAUUGAACAAGUGGAUCUUCAUCAAGAAUGAAAGCUGUCUGCUUCAAAGUAAAAUCUGUCACAGUGUCAUC
ensembl:lncRNA novel transcript